rnacentral:rRNA from 1 species
GUGUCAGCCGCCGCGGUAAUACGGGGGGGGCAAGCGUUGUUCGGAAUUACUGGGCGUAAAGGGCUCGUAGGCUGCCAACUAAGUCGGACGUGAAAUCCCUCGGCUUAACCGGGGAACUGCGUCCGAUACUGGAUGGCUUGAGUUUGGGAGAGGGAUGCGGAAUUCCAGGUGUAGCGGUGAAAUGCGUAGAUAUCUGGAGGAACACCGGUGGCGAAGGCGGCAUCCUGGACCAACACUGACGCUGAUGAGCGAAAGCCAGGGGAGCAAACGGGAUUAGAUACCCUAGUAGUCC